UACAGAGGUCCCAAGCGUUGUUCGGAUUCACUGGGCGUAAAGGGUGCGUAGGCGGUCGGGUAAGUCUGACGUGAAAUCUCCAAGCCUAACUUGGAAACUGCGUUGGAUACUAUCUGGCUUGAGGAAUGGAGGGGAGACUGGAAUACUUGGUGUAGCAGUGAAAUGCGUAGAUAUCAAGUGGAACACCAGUGGCGAAGGCGAGUCUCUGGACAUUUCCUGACGCUGAGGCACGAAAGCCAGGGGAGCAAACGGG
rnacentral:rRNA from 1 species